rnacentral:tRNA from 1 species
ACAUGUGCCGCUAUAGCUCAGCCGGUUAGAGCGUGGGUCUAAUAAGCCCAAGGUCGUAGGUUCGAUCCCUACUAGCGGCAUAUA